UGGGGAAUAUUGCACAAUGGGCGAAAGCCUGAUGCAGCGACGCCGCGUGAGGGAUGACGGCCUUCGGGUUGUAAACCUCUUUCAGUAGGGACGAAGCGCAAGUGACGGUACCUGCAGAAGAAGCACCGGCUAACUACGUGCCAGCAGCCGCGGUAAUACGUAGGGUGCGAGCGUUGUCCGGAAUUACUGGGCGUAAAGAGCUCGUAGGCGGUUUGUCACGUCGUCUGUGAAAUCCUAGGGCUUAACCCUGGACGUGCAGGCGAUACGGGCUGACUUGAGUACUACAGGGGAGACUGGAAUUUCUGGUGUAGCGGUGGAAUGCACAGAUAUCAGGAAGAACACCGAUGGCGAAGGCAGGUCUCUGGGUAGUAACUGCCGCUGAGGAGCGAAAGCAUGGGAAGCGAACAGG
rnacentral:rRNA from 1 species